AGCGAACGCUGGCGGCAGGCCUAACACAUGCAAGUCGAACGAACUCUUCGGAGUUAGUGGCGGACGGGGGAGUAACACGUGGGAACGUGCCUUUUGGUUCGGAAUAACUCAGGGAAACUUGUGCUAAUACCGAAUGUGCCCUUCGGGGGAAAGAUUUAUCGCCAUUAGAGCGGCCCGCGUCUGAUUAGCUAGUUGGUGAGGGAACGGCUCACCAAGGCGACGAUCAGUAGCUGGUCUGAGAGGAUGACCAGCCACACUGGGACUGAGACACGGCCCAGACUCCUACGGGAAGCAGCAGUGGGGAAUCUUGCGCAAUGGGCGAAAGCCUGACGCAGCCAUGCCGCGUGAAUGAUGAAGGUCUUAGGAUUGUAAAAUUCUUUCACCGGGGACGAUAAUGACGGUACCCUGAGAAGAAGCCCCGGCUAACUUCGUG
rnacentral:rRNA from 1 species